GGAGAGACAGCAGAGGUUAUUUGACAGCGGUGCACUGAUAAGUCGGUGCAUAUCUCAUGCAACUACUGCAGGUGCACAUUCAAAGUGAAAAUGGCAGAAGGAGUAAACCCAACUGCGCUCUCCUGUGUAAAAGCUCUCACAGCUUUUGUUGAAAAUGGAAAAGCUCUGCUGGACCUCGCCGAAAAGGACAGCAAAGAAGGCUCAUUCCAGGAAUUCAUCAGACAGAAAAUUCGCAUUGAGCAAAAACAGUCACUGCUGGGCCUGAUUGAAGCUGCUGCCGGCCUGUACAGAAGUCUGUCUGUUAAGAGGAAAAAGGAUGCAGAGGAUCUAUGGACAAAAAACAAUCAUUGUGCAGCCUUGCAGGAUGCUGUGCAAGACUUUCAGCAGCUCGCAAUGCAGUGGGAUUCCUUUCUACAACGUUUGGAUGAUGAGUUGCAACUUAGUGCUAAAACACUGACUGAGGACCAUCAAUCAAGACGUAUUCCACCAGACACACCGCUCAUCGAUGCCAAGACAGGAGAAACAGUGACACUGCAGAAAUAUCUUGGGAAAGGUAAAAAGAUCCUGCUGGUGUUAAUCCGUCAGUUCUCCUGCCUGCUCUGCCGUCUCCAUCUUAAAGAUCUGGAGAAGAGUCAGAGAUCCCUGGAUGCACACUCUGUGGAAGUGGUGAUUGUUUCAUUUGGCUGUCGGGAGGGCGCUUCACACUGGCUACAGGAGACAGGCUGUCGGUACGACAUGCUGUUGGACCCUGAUAGAAAGAUGUACACUGCGUUCAGCCUGGAGGCAUCUCUGAAGAAAGUAUUAAACUUCAGUAACAUGCUGCUCUAUGCUGAGUAUGUGGCGGAUAAUAUGGAGUUUCCAAGAGAUCUCCCAUCAAUACAAGACGACAUGUUUCAGCUGGGAGGCGACUUUGUUUUGGACGAACAUGGGAGGGUGCUGUUCUCUCACUGCUGCCAGAGUCCAAUAGACCGACCAACAGUGGAGGACAUUUUAUCUGCGCAGUGAAGAUUAAACUCCUUCAUACACAACAUUGACUUAUUAAAGAAAUACAGAAACAGCACACACUCCGGAUCACUGGUGUUGGAGUCCUGGGUCUGAGCACCUCCGGGAGGAAUGUGGCUGGACGGAGGCCGAGGUGCGU